rnacentral:lncRNA from 1 species
UGCAGAUGAAUGAUUAAACUCACGAGUUGGGGUCUUACAAACCGAUCUAGCGACGAAACUGUUCUUGAUAGAUUAAUCUAAGCAAAACCCGACCCGACUCUAAACCAUGACGACUACUGAAUAAAUAGAGUUAGGGACAUCCUAGAGUUUCCCUAGGGCGCACACCCCUUGGGCUAAAGCCCACGACACAAUUACAUGGCCCAAAACCGAAAACAGAUUCGGACUGGAUGAUAUACGUGGCUUGUUUUGCAGAUUCCUGGCAGCUCGGUAGGAAUUUUGACGUGGGACCAAAACCAUCUGAAUGUAGACUCCAUAAGCUUUCCAACAAGUACUCAUGGGCCUGAAAAGUCCUACUAGAUUAAUGGCUAGGUCCGUUUGAAGUUGAUGCUGUCAGAUGGCCGAAUCCGAAUCCUAAACGUGUAGAACUUUAUCUCGUAUCCUCUAUGGACCAAAAGUGACGUGGUGAGAUGAAAGUGGACUGGGAGAAGGUCUUGGUUUGGUCCCCAAUCAACUGAUUCAAUCAUCCAUGCAUUCCUUAUGCUCCGUCUCUUUUCUUUCGCCCAAGCAAGUACUUCUGCGAACAAAAAUACACGAAAUUCAAUGUGUAGCAACGCUUGUUCAAAUAUAUAACAAGUAAAUCUAAUAUAGAACAUAUGCACCUUUGGUUGAUUAAUACAUAAUGUACCCAUGGUUAUAUCUGAGCUAGUUGUGUCCUCAUCAACAAACAAAGAAAAACAUGCAAAAACAUGAUAUAAAACUAUUAAAACAGAGAAAGAAACUAUUUUAAAUGGAUUCUUGGUAUUUUUCUGGAUUUAAUGAAAUUUAAAUGGACUAAAACAGAGAUUAGAUUAAUUAGUUAUAAAUUUUAAAAGUUUAAAUAUGUUUUAAACUAAACAGAAAAGACUAAAUGAUUUAUUGCGCAAAUUCAUUGGAGGCUAACGUUAGCGAGGAGAGACGAACUGAGCUAACAAGCGGGGCCAUGGGGAGAGAGAAGAGAAACGCUGACGAGCAGAGCCCACAGUUCGGGUGAGAGAGUGAGUCUGAUAGGUGGGGCCGGGGUGGCUGUGAGGGAAAAACAGAGAGGGGAGGAACUUGGCGCCGGCCGAGGGACGCAGGUGGGAGGUGGCAACGGCAGUGGACAACCUGCCUCGGCGAUGGCCGGCGGCGGCAAGCACCGGUGCCGGUGGCAUGCGGCGGAGAUCAGGCAGCUAGGGAUGAGUGGCGUGGCUAGGCUAGCAGCAAGCAGCGGCCGUCGGCAUGCACAUGGAGGCAACGACCAUGAGCGGCACAUGGCGACGCAGGAGGUGAGGUGGCGUGCACGGCGGGCGCAGCGGGUGACCAUGUUGACGUUAGAAAUAUGAUCCGACAUGUCACACCCGAAGGUAUAGGAGUCGUUUGUCAGAAUACUCUAGUGUAGGACCUAAAUUCUUAGAAUGCACAGGCGUGCUAGUUAGUUUGCUCCUGUAACUGACAAGAUGGGUAACUAAAUGUCCAGCUGAUCGGAUGUUGGUAUAACUGCAUUUAGCCGAUAGGCUGAGCGAUCGGCUGUUGGAGGCUUGGAUCGGCUGAGAAUCCGAUACAUAUAAACUCAAAUAGUUAAAUAUCAAUGAGUACUUUGCUACGAUCGGCUAAAACCAACUUGCGUGUUCCUCAUAAGUCCAUGCAACAUAAAACAAUUACCGAUAUAAAUGAAUCAAGCCGAUUGGUAUAAAAAUAAUGCAGUAAUGCAAUUGGUUAAUCUAUUGAUGUAAAUAUAAUAAACAUGUAGAUCGGCAAAGAUUAUCAGCUAUGGAGAACUAACAAAUAACCAAGAUCUAUAAAAUAUCUGGCCAAAAUUACUAAGAAUAAUCAUAGAAGAUCGGACUCAACCGAGACAGUUCAAGAUUACACCUAGCAAUAUCAGGAUAGAUACUAAACAAAUCUAGAUCGCUAUCAAGCCGAUGAGUCGAUGACUGAUAGCUUAUAUCGGCUGGUACUCUGAUAAAACAAUAAGAAAAAUACAUUGAUAUGAUAUAAAUCAUCUGAUAAACGCAAUCUACUAGAUAUAACUGAACCGAAACAGUACUAGACUGAAUAUGCCAAAUAGCAAAUACUAAACCAACAUAGAUCGCCCAAAGUAGGUCGACCAGAUCAACUCAAAACAUGAAAGUGAUCUAAACCGAAAUUGAUAUGACAACUAGCAAUCGCACAACUAGAUUAGAAGAUAGGACCGAACCAAGAUAAUUCUAAUCUAGCCGAUAUGAUUACCAUGGCCCGGUGGAACGUAGAACUUACCCCUCCACCGGAGAUCGAAGCGAUGCAGCCCCACGUCAGGUGCCAAGUUCCACCAGAGUUUAAACCUCGAUUAGGAGGCUGAUGAUGCGCCGAGAGUAAUUAAUCUAUUGAUUGAGAAGUAGAUGAUUUACAAUGGCCCCGGGCAUGCAUAUUUAUACCCUCGGGUGGAUAGUAGUCUAUAUUGAACACGACAUACGACUCCUAAUAAUAAAAAGAAACAAUAAACAAGUCCUAUUUGGAUUCUAACUCUAAUCUCUAUUGGAUACGACACGGUUUCUAAUAGAUACAAGAAAACAAACAAGUCCCGAUCAAACUCUAAUAUCUUAGAGAUAAAAUAAAAAUCCCAACUAACUCUAAUUAAUAGAUAAAUUUACACCGUCAUGUCUUGAUCUUCAUAAUUCUCUAUUAAAUUGAAACUCUUUCGGAUAAAAUUUCUUUCGACGAUUUCACCUUUUCCCAUCUAAAUCCAAUAAAAAAAUUUUACUUAACCGACCGAGACCCGAGGCGGUGGCGACGACGGCGACGCCGAGCGGCGCGCUCGCGACAGCUGCAGAGAGGGGAUAGGAAGGGGAGGACGCGGGAGGUAGAGGCAGCGGCCACCUCGGCGGUGGCGUGGACGGCGAGGCGGGGAGAGGCGGUGCGCGGCUGACAGCGCGACGGCGCGAUACGCACGUGCGGAGGCGGCUGGAGAGUGGAGGAAGGAGGAAGGGGGACAUGGGCUCACCUACAGCGGAGCGGCGACGACGAGGAUGAUAGGAACGGAGAGGAGUGGCGCUCGGUGGAGAUCGGUGUCCGGCGGUGAAUCCCGGUGGCGGACGACGACACGGAGCGACAGUGUGGGGCGAUCGCGAGGGAGGCAAAGGAGGUCGGCGGCGGACUGGGAGGGAUUUUAUAGGGGGAAGAGGCAGCGGCACGCAAAGGGCGGAAGCGGCGGUUGCACGCGGCGGUUGCGGGAUCGGCG